rnacentral:lncRNA from 1 species
UCCAUAUACAAUUUGUCAUAUCUAAUAAGACUUUAUUUACAAAAUAUAACACAUUAGUAAAAAAAAAAUCAUAAAACGAAGAGCAAUUAUAAAAAAGAAUUAUUUAAAAAGUGGGACACCAAACAAAAAUAAAAUUUCAUGGUAAAAUUUGACAUCAAAAUAACAAAUAAUAACUAAUUGCAAUACAAACAAAACAUAACUUAAUUACAAUGUUUACAGAAGCUCCCAUUUCGCCUUAGUUAAUUCUUAUGUACCUGAAAAUUUGUACUAAGGCAAACUGGGAUUAAUUUUAUGUAAUUAUUUUGACAUCUAAGGCGAAAUGAGAAUAAGCCA